UACGUAGGGACCAAGCGUUGUCCGGAUUCAUUGGGCGUAAAGAGCGUGUAGGCGGCCAUUUAAGUCCUGCGUGAAAUCUCGGGGCUCAACCCCGAGCGGUCGUGGGAAACUGGAUGGCUAGAGUGCGGGAGAGGAGAGUGGAAUUCCUGGUGUAGCGGUGGAAUGCGCAGAUAUCAGGAAGAACACCCGUGGCGAAGGCGGCUCUCUGGAACGCAACUGACGCUGAGACGCGAAAGCGUGGGGAG
rnacentral:rRNA from 1 species